GCUCAGAAACUCAAGGAAUGACGGGGCCGCACAAGCGGUGGAGCAUGUGGUUUAAUUCGACGCAACGCGAAGAACCUUACCUGGGCUUGACAUCCCGAUCGCACCUUAUGGAAACAUAGGGGUCAGUUCGGCUGGAUCGGUGACAGGUGCUGCAUGGCUGUCGUCAGCUCGUGUCGUGAGAUGUUGGGUUAAGUCCCGCAACGAGCGCAACCCUUGUCCUUAGUUGCCAGCAUUCAGUUGGGCACUCUAAGGAGACUGCCGGUGUCAAACCGGAGGAAGGUGGGGAUGACGUCAAGUCCUCAUGGCCCUUAUGUCCAGGGCUACACACGUGCUACAAUGGCCGGUACAAAGGGGCGCAAGACCGCGAGGUGGAGCAAAUCCCAAAAAACCGGUCUCAGUUCGGAUUGGAGUCUGCAACUCGACUCCAUGAAGUUGGAAUCGCUAGUAAUCGCGUAUCAGCAUGACGCGGUGAAUACGUUCCCGGGCCUU
rnacentral:rRNA from 1 species